rnacentral:lncRNA from 1 species
UACAUUCUAGCACAUAUAGUCGACCAUCUCCAUCUCAUUUACUGGUCGCCAACACUCUUCCCAUUUGGCGAUUUUGAAUAGUGAAAAAAUUAUUAGUGAACUUAAUAGAUAAUGAAAAGUCAUCCGUUAAUCUAAUAAUUGACAAAAGAUUUUUAGGAUGUGAGGAAUGACCAAAACAUCUAACAGCUGAAAAUCAGGAGAAUGGGAAAUUUACCAGUAUGGGUAAUGGGUAGGGACGCACCAUUUUCGACAAUAACACAAUCCUUACCCAUAUAAGAAGUGGACUGAUCCAAGAGGGUUUGGGCUGAGGCCCCUGUGUCUAAAAACUAAUUCGAGGCCUUGUUUCAAAAAGGGAACAUGGAGAAUUGAGGGCUUCUGCAAGUUGAGCCUCACGGGUAUGACCAAGGCUUUCAUACCGUUUUUGGCACCAGUCUGCAUAGUGACCAUCUGCGCGACAAAUUUGAUAGCGCGGGGGUCGUCUGCGGGAGAAACGUCCCUGUCCUUGUCCGUGAUCGACAGUCUGACUGUGAUUGUUGUGAUAAGAAGAGCUUCGCUGAUUAAACUUCACAGGGUUGCGAUUGGUGGCUUGAACACCGCAGGGGAUGGUGUAGCCAGCUCUAGGGAUUUUUGAAAGAGCUCAAAGCUCUCUACCUUUGGCAUAAGAUCUGAAAAACAUGUCAAAGGGGUGAGGGCCAUUUGGGCCUGGAGAAGAUUGAGAAUUUCGAGCCAAGACCUCGAAGAAAUCAGUGCACUUUGUCAGUGCCAUCAACGGGUCAUCCGAUGACAUGGAGUUGAUCGCAGAGGACCUUGAAGGCGCGGGAGUAUUCCGAAACAGAUCUGGUGCCUAGUUUCAUCAGUUGCAAAUCAUCCUUGAGACGAAUUUCAGGGGCUUUGAAGUGGUGGCUGAAGGUGUUCUCUAAGGCAACUCACAAUUCACUUGAAGUAGAGAGUCCCAAACUUCCACCUUGGCCUCCACGGUGAGGGAGGACCACAGAAGGCUGAGGAGGCAUUGAUCGAUUUGUUUCCAUGGCACAUGUUUGAUAUUUGGUGUCUAAGAAUUUUCAGGGGCAAAACGGGGUGGGGUUUCUAUAGUUCCAUCCACAUAGCCGAUCAGUUCUUGGCUCUCUAAAAUGGGAAGCAAAUGGCUCUACCAUAGGAGAUAGUUGGAAGAGGAUAGUUUGAUUGUAACCAUGUGGAUGAGGGUAUUGAAAGGGAGAAUAUUGGGGGAGGGUUUGACAGCCAUGGGAAGGAAGGCAGGAUCAUGUGAGGGAGGUUAAUCCGUAGAGGGCUCGGAUACCAAAAGAGUGUUUAGAAAAUCACCACACUUUCUAGUGGUGAGUUGCUUUCAUAUUUAUAUCUAUAUCUACAUAAUCGUAUAUGGUAUGAUUACGAUAGAAUGGAAACAAUACAAUUGGCUCUACCAUAGGAGAUAGUUGGAAGAGGAUAGUUUGAUUGUAACCAUGUGGAUGAGGGUAUUGAAAGGGAGAAUAUUGGGGGAGGGUUUGACAGCCAUGGGAAGGAAGGCAGGAUCAUGUGAGGGAGGUUAAUCCGUAGAGGGUUCGGAUACCAAAAGAGUGUUUAGAAAAUCACCACACUUUCUAGUGGUGAGUUGCUUUCAUAUUUAUAUCUAUAUCUAUAUCUACAUAAUCGUAUAUGGUAUGAUUACGAUAGAAUGGGAACAAUACAAUUGAAUGGAAAGAAUUAAGGAAACAAGGAAGAGGCUUCAAUUAUGGGUUAAAUGAGAAUACAAAUGGGAAGUCUUUUUUUCAAUAAACAUUUAUUGUUUUUCCUCA